rnacentral:rRNA from 1 species
UGGCUCCUUAAGAUAUAGUCGGGCCCGGUGAGCAGUCACCGGGAGUUCUGCGUCCGUAGGUGAACCUGCGGAAGGAUCAUUACAAGUGAGGCUAUCGACCGUUGGAAACGGCGGUUAGAAGCUUACACCCACCCGUGUUUACAUACUAUUGUUGCUUUGGCGGGCCGUGGCCUCACUGCGGGCUCUGCUCGUGUGUGCCCGCCAGAGGACCAAAUUCUGAAUGUUAGUGAUGUCUGAGUACUAUUUAAUAGUUAAAACUUUCAACAACGGAUCUCUUGGUUCUGGCAUCGAUGAAGAACGCAGCGAAAUGCGAUAAGUAAUGUGAAUUGCAGAAUUCAGUGAAUCAUCGAAUCUUUGAACGCACAUUGCGCCCCUUGGUAUUCCGAGGGGCAUGCCUGUUCGAGCGUCAUUACAACCCUCAAGCACUGCUUGGUGUUGGGCCUCGCCGGUUUUGGCGGGCCUUAAAAUCAGUGGCGGUGCCGUCUGGGUUCUGAGCGUAGUAAAUAUCCUCGCUACGGAGACCAGGCGGUUCUUGUCAUCAACCCCCAACUUCUUAAGUUUGACCUCGGAUCAGGUAGGGAUACCCGCUGAACUUAA